rnacentral:rRNA from 1 species
UACAGGAGGUCCCGAGCGUUGUUCGGAUUCAUUGGGCGUAAAGGGUGCGUAGGCGGCGGGGAAAGUCUGAUGUGAAAUCCUGGGGCUCAACCCUGGAACUGCAUUGGAUACUUCCUUGCUAGAGUACUGGAGAGGAGACUGGAAUUUACGGUGUAGCGGUGAAAUGCGUAGAUAUCGUAAGGGAAGACCAGUGGCGAAGGCGGGUCUCUGGACAGUUCCUGACGCUGAAGCACGAAGGCCAGGGGAGCAAACGGG